CGUACAGGUCUAUCCUGGACUUUGGGUAAAUACCUUUUCUCAUGGUAAAGAUCCGUGGGUAAGAUUGCUGGGUAGCGCGGGGAAGAGUCAUGCUUAACUUUGUAAGAAUCUAACAAAUCCUUCUUCAGAGUAAUUGUCCUGGUCUGCCUUCCCAGCAACAAUGUAUGAGAAUUCCAGCAGAAAGCAAAUGGAAUCCUGAUCAAGAAAUACAGGAAGCGAAUGAAGAGAAUCAUAAUACAAAUAAUUACAGUGAAAAUCCAUCCUUGGAUCUUCAGCAGGGUGGAGCUCUGUGUUCCAGGAUUCCUCACCCGCGAGCCUCAGGCCAGGGUCGACCUGUUUUAUUCCCUUCACUGAUCCAUCCUGCGGCCGGCCACAGACACCCGAAAGCAGGGACUUCCGUCCUCCUGUAGAUGGGUGCUGAGCAGCAAGCAGCUUCCAGCUCAAGGGAGCGAGCCAGAAAGUCAGCUGAAGCCAGGGAUCUGCUCCAAGACCAGUCAGCCGCUCUGGGCAUCAAACUCAGGAGUCUGGUUAGCAAGUUGGACCAAGUCCCGUGGAACUGAGUCACGAGGGACCAAGGAUGGCUAUCAUUUGCACCCCCAGAUCAUCGCAAUCAGUCUUCCACCACAUAUGCUCCAAGUCUGGGGAUGUCUCACUCUGCCCUGAUGCCCUGGAGAGAGGCGCCUUCUUGCUGCAUUUUCUUCAUGUUUAGGCAACACAUCCCCCAUUGACUCGAUGACGUCCCUUCCGCCUGGCAGAGCCCAGUGCAGUCUCCCUUCCUUUCAACACCGCCUCCAUUAGAAGAGUGAGGCGCUGAUGUUGAUACCCCAUGCCCGCAUAUCUUUCCUCCCACAGCCUGCAUGUUGUGUUUGUGACCUCACUUUUGAAAUUAACAUAUUCACCUGCCGGAUCCUUCUCCGUGUGCCGAGCCACUGGAGGGCAGUCGCUACAGCUCUAGGGAGGCAGCCCGGAUCCCACAAUGUGGUCUUUGACUUUGACUUUAGGAUGCCCUCUCCAAUGACUGCAGUUCUCUUAUCAGUGUUGACCACAUCAUCUUCUUCCUUUAUAACCACCGACAGUACCUGGGCUGAAGCCUAUGCACACAAAGAAUGUUUGAUAAAUAUUGACCGAUUGUUCUUUGUUCAAUAACUUAUCCACCUAUAGGAGCUCAGCAAAUAUUAACACUUUGGUAAAACCCCUCAAGUCGUUCAAAACAAGAUAUCGCAGAGCGCUAUGUAUGUAUGAAUAAUCUGCUAAUGAACCACAGUAUUAACUUCUUGCCAUUUGAUAUGCAAAACAGGGCUAUUACGAGUCUCGAGACCUGGUGGGUACCUUUAUAACUAAGAACUACAGGGAGGCAUUGGUCACUGAGGCUGGCUCUUGCCUGUCAUGUUGCCAUUCUUUGUGAACUCACACUUUGCUUUCAGUUCCCCGAUGGAUUAUAUACUCAAUACGGUGCAUACAUGACAGCAGGGCAAAAGCAUUCUUUGAAACGUUGAUGUGAUGGCGAGUAACGACAGAGUGAGUGUGAGAGAUAUACUGGUUUCGAAGCCAACAAAAGUCCAUGUGGCACCUUUAACACAAACCAGCCAGAAUCCCUGUGAGGAGCAGCCCUGCAGAGGGGGCUGGCUGUGAGGAAUUUCUCCCCCCUCCCCACCCCGAGGAAUCUCCCUCCCCUGCAUAGACAGGUGCAAGGAAGCAUGUGGAGAAUCUGGCCCAGGUCAUCUGGCACAUUCUCUUUGAUGGUUCAAUAUGUUUUUUGCUUUUGGCAAACAAUGCAUUUCUUAAGGAUGGGAUCUGCUUUCAAUUUCUUUUGAAUUCCCUAAAAACUAAUGCAGCUGAGCUAAAACUUGGGAUGUGGUGGAAAGAAUCAGGUAUGAUAUAAGGUUGCCUUUUAUGAGAUGUGAGAUACUUUCAAUUCUGAUCAUUCUUAUGCUAACUUUUAGUGAAAAAUCUAAUGGGCCAUUUUUCCUCCUCUGAUGGAUUAGUGCUCAUUUCUAGAAAGUCAGAAUCACAAUCUGUAGUUUAUUCUCUCUGACGGACUUUGAAGUCAAGGCUGAGAUGGUACACAGCAGGGGACACACCAGCAGCAUAUUUGGGUUCAGAGAUUAAUAGUAUGAACCCACGAUCGCUUCCUCGGUGCUCCCCUGCUGGGAUACCAAGUCACGCUCAAGCACGCUCUUCCUCCCCGACCCGGGACAUAGUCAGGUCUUCAUAUCGAGCAGAUUCGGCAAACCUACUAAUACGGAGAGAAAGUUGAGAUUGCGCUGCAGAGGCCCAGGAACCUAGGAAUCAAAAUCAGAAAACUUGGAAUGACUGGAGCCGUCAUUUGCUAUUAAGAUGGAUGCUGGACGGGAUUCCAGAGUGGUCCCUCCCUCAUCCCGGACCAGAUAAACCCCUUUGAUAUUGACCAGGCAUCCCGGACGGAACACUAAAAUGGCUCCUCCAGACCAGGCCCCCAGUGUUCAGAUCCCGAGCCUCAGAGCUGGCUUCUCCCAGGCUUGGUCACUCUCAGCGCUUUCUCCCCUUGCUUCCCAAACCGCUUUAUGGUAUCUGGAUUGUUUAAAUAACAAUUUUCAGCAGCCAGAUUUCAAAUCCUCUUUCUUAGAGAAACAGUAUGUAAGGUAGGGUGCUCCUCUCUAUAUACACACCACCCAGAUUUAUUCAUGUUGGACUUUUGUUCUAUUUGCCUUGAUACCUCUCAUUUUAUAAAAAGAAAUAAAACAAGGAAAGUACCACCUUUACCUGUUCUUUCCCCUCCCUUCCUGGAGUUAACCACCAUUUUGAAGUCAGUGUAUCUUAUUCCUAUGCAUACCCCUAAACAGUAUGUGGUGCUUUUUGUUGUUGUUUUUUAAAUAAUCAGAAAUGGCAUUAUAAUAUACAAGCUUUUGAUCUUAUAUUUUACACUUUAGAAAUUUAUUCUUAUUGAUAAAAAUAGGUCUGAUGCAUUCAUUUUCAGGUGGGGUGCAUUCCCCUAUUGAUUAGCAAUUAUGUAUAUUAUCCCCAGUGUCUUCCUAUCAAAACAAUAUGCACUUGUUUCAUUUACUAGGUAUUGUCAAAAUGCUUGCCCAAGUAGAUGCACUAAUUACAUUCAGCAACUUUGAGGAAGAGUUCCUUUUUCUCCAUACCCUUGUCAGUAUUUUGUGACAUGGGUACAAUCCAUGUGAGCGAAAUGGUGUGUAAAUGUUAGUUUCUUUUGUCAUUCCCAACUGUGAGGGACAUUGGGUCUCUUUCCAUCCUUUACAGUAAAUUACCUCUGCGUGUAUUUUAAAAACUGUUGUUUGUCUUUUUCUUCUUGGUUUGUAGAAAUUCUUUAUGUAUCCUCGAUAGUGAUCCUUUGUCGAUUGCAUGGGUUUUAAAUAUCUUUUCCUAGUUUGUGGCUUGGCUUUUUUAUUCACCUGUCACGUCUUGCUGAAUAGGUAGCCUGAAUAUUAAUUGAAUCAAGCCUAUCAACUGUACCUUCACGACAUCUGUGAUUUUAGAAAAUCUCAAGAAAUCUUUAAAACCACAAAAUUAUAGGACACAAAGUUAAUAUAGAAAUGGAUUGUGUUUUUACAUAUCAGCAGCAAACAAUUGGAAGUAAUCACCCGAGCAUAAAGGCAAUCUUACUUCUGCUUUCUAAUCUUUAUGCCUUUUUUUUCUUCUUGCCUUAUUACAUCUAUGAGAACCACCCUUACAAUGUUAAAUAGAAAUGAGAGUAAGAAUCCUUGCCUUGGUCCCAGAGUCUUACAGGGAGAAGGCUCAUAUUUUACCGUGAAGAAUGGUGCUGAGGUGUGUUUUGGUAGAUGCCCUUUAUCAGAUGAUGAAUGGUCCUCUCUAUUCUUAGUUGUCUGAGAGUCUUCACCAUGUGUGAGUUUGACUUUUGUUAGAUGCUUUUAACACGUUUGUUGAAAUGAUCACAGUUUUUGUUUUCAUUUUUUCUAUUAAUGUGGUGAAUUGCACUGAUUGAUUAUCUGAUGUUAAACCUACCUUGUUAUCGUUAGAUAAACCCUUGUCACCCAUGAUGUGUUACUGUUUAUGGUAUGUUGCUGGAUUCAGCUUGCGAAUAUUUUGUUAAGUUUCUCUGAAUCUAUGUUUGUGAUGGUCUUUCAUAAUUCAUAAAAUAUUAGCCAGGUUUUGGUAGUAGAUUUAUGCUGGCCCCACAAAAUGAUCUGGGAAACAGUCCUUCCUCAUCUUCUUUCUUAGUUUGUGUGAGAUAGGAGCUCUUUGACAGAAUGACACGGUGAAACCAUCUGAACCUGAAAUUUACUUUGCGGGAAAGAUUUUGAUAGUAACU